rnacentral:piRNA from 1 species
CUUAGGGAAAAUGAGUGGCCAC